rnacentral:rRNA from 1 species
AAUCGAACCCGGAGAUAGCUGGUUCUCCCCGAAAUAGCUUUAGGGCUAGCGUCGGAAAGAACCUUAGUGAAGGUAGAGCACUGAAUGUGUGAUGGCCCCAUCCCGGGGUACUGAAUACAAUCAAACUGCGAAUGUCAUUAAGGAUGUCCGGCAGUCAGACUGUGAGUGAUAAGGUCCAUGGUCAAGAGGGAAACAGCCCAGACCGCCAGUUAAGGUCCCAAAAUACAGGCUAAGUGGAAAAGGAUGUGGGGAUGCCCAGACAACUAGGAGGUUGGCUCAGAAGCAGCCAUCCUUUAAAGAGUGCGUAACAGCUCACUAGUCGAGUGACCCUGCGCCGAAAAUGUACCGGGGCUAAGCCUGAUACCGAAACUGCGGAUUGUAGGAAACUAUAGUGGUAGGGGAGCGUUGUAUACGAGCAGAAGCCGUACCGUGAGGAGCGGUGGAUUGUAUAGAAGUGAGAAUGCCGGUGUGAGUAGCGAGAUGUAGGUGAGAAUCCUACACACCGAAAGCCCAAGGAUUCCAGGGGAAGGUUCGUCCGCCCUGGGUAAGUCGGGACCUAACGCGAGGCCGAAAGGCGUAGUGGAUGGAAAGCAGGCGAAAGAUUCCUGCACCCGUAUAUGGAGCGAAGGAGUGACGGAGACGGAUAGUGUGACCCUCUUAAUGGAUUGAGGGCGAAGCGAAGCGGCUGGUUACCAGGCAAAUCCGGUAACUAAAAGGCUAGAGCGUGACAGGUAAGCGAAAUCUUAGGAAAGUAGCGAAGCACAUGAUGACGGCUUCCAGGAAAAGCUUCUGGCAAUGCAUAUGCGGCCCGUACCAAAACCGACACAGGUGGGCAGGGAGAGAAUCCCGAGGUGAGCGAGAGAACUGUUGCCAAGGAACUCGGCAAAAUGACUCCGUAAGUUAGCGAGAAGGAGUGCUUAAGCAAUUAAGCCGCAGUGAAGAGGCCCAAGCGACUGUUUAACUAAAACACAGCUCUCUGCGAAGUCGCAAGACGAAGUAUAGGGGGUGACACCUGCCCGGUGCUGGAAGGUUAAGAGGAUCUGUUAAGAGCGAUCUGAAGCAGUGAUCCGAAGCCCCAGUGAACGGCGGCCGUAACUAUAACGGUCCUAAGGUAGCGAAAUUCCUUGUCAGGUAAGUUCUGACCCGCACGAAAGGUGUAACGAUUUGGGCGCUGUCUCGGCAGCAGACUCGGUGAAAUCUUAGUACCUGUGAAAAUGCAGGUUACCCGCAACUAGACGGAAAGACCCCAUGGAGCUUUACUGCAGCCUGAUAUUGAAUUCUGGUCAUACAUGUACAGGAUAGGUGGGAGACAAAGAGACGUGCACGCCAGUGUACGAGGAGUCGUCGUUGGGAUACCACUCUUGUGUGACCGGGGUUCUAACCUGGUAUCGAGAACAGGUACGGGGAGAGUGUCAGGUGGGCAGUUUGACUGGGGCGGUCGCCUCCCAAAGAGUAACGGAGGCGCCCAAAGGUUCCCUCAGCGCGGCCGGAAAUCGCGCGAAGAGUGUAAAGGCAGAAGGGAGCUUGACUGAGAGCCAAACACGGCAAUCAGGUACGAAAGUAGGGCUUAGUGAUCCGGUGGCAUCCAAGUGGAAGGGCCAUCGCUCAACGGAUAAAAGCUACCCUGGGGAUAACAGGCUAAUCUCUCCCAAGAGUCCAUAUCGACGGGGAGGUUUGGCACCUCGAUGUCGGCUCAUCACAUCCUGGGGCUGAAGUCGGUCCCAAGGGUUGGGCUGUUCGCCCAUUAAAGUGGUACGUGAGCUGGGUUCAGAACGUCGUGAGACAGUUCGGUCCCUAUCCAUCGCGGGCGCAAGAGAUUUGAAGGGGGCUGCUCCUAGUACGAGAGGACCGGAGUGGACGAACCAAUGGUGUACCAAUUAUCUCGCCAGAGGUAUAGUUGGGUAGCUACGUUCGGAAAGGAUAAACGCUGAAAGCAUCUAAGCGUGAAACCAGCCUUAAGAUGAGAUCUCUCAUAGAGCAAUCUAGUAAGACACCUUGG